rnacentral:rRNA from 1 species
AAAGGGGCGGCGGUGCAUAACACAUGCAAGUCGAACGAGAAAGUGGAGCAAUCCAUGAGUAAAGUGGCGACCGGGUGUUUAACACGUGACCAAUCUGCCCUUGAGUGGGGGAUAACCUCGGGAAACCGGGGCUAAUACCGCAUAACAUCUUCAGGUCGGAAGAGCUGAAGAUCAAAGGAGCAAUUCGCUUAAGGAGGAGGUCGCGGCUGAUUAGCUAGUUGGCGGGGUAAUGGCCCACCAAGGCGAAGAUCGGUAGCCGGCCUGAGAGGGCGCACGGCCACACUGGAACUGAAACACGGUCCAGACUCCUACGGGAGGCAGCAGUGGGGAAUUUUGCGCAAUGGGGGAAACCCUGACGCAGCAACGCCGCGUGGAGGAUGAAGUCCCUUG